rnacentral:tRNA from 2 species
AUUUAUAUAAUUCAAAUUUAGAAUAGUACACUGAAGAUGUAAAAGUGAUUUUUUUUAUCUAUAAAUA